rnacentral:lncRNA from 1 species
AGAACCAAAAUCCAACACUACCUACGGCUGGUAUGUCUCUAGAUCAGCAGCAAAACGGAAAGAGAUCUAACUCGCGACUCCCUUUCCACAAUCCGAAUCCACAACAGCAGCAGCAGCCGAAGGAGAAGGAUCUGCAAAAAGUUUCAACAACUGGGUGUGAGAACUACUGCAAAAAGAAGUAGUCCUCAGUGAGUACCGCUACCGAUCUAAACGGCUCACCCACUAAGUCUACAAAAAAGUAUGCUCAAAGAUAGUAAAGAAAGCUGGAACAAAUCUAUAGUUAUAUGUCACUAUACUAUCAUAAUCCAACAUUAACUAUUUGUAGAAAAUGCAAUCUCUGACCCAAUCUCACUA